GAUGAAGAACGUAGCGAAAUGCGAUAAGUAAUGUGAAUUGCAGAAUUCAGUGAAUCAUCGAAUCUUUGAACGCACCUUGCACUCCUUGGUAUUCCGAGGAGUACGCCUGUUCGAGUGUUAUGAAGCUCUCAAAACGCAAUUGGCUUAAAACCUGAUUGUUGUUUUGGAUUUGAACUUUGCCGUGUUAUAACGGCUGGUUUUAAAAGUAUUAGCUGGUACUAGAACGAAUUGGUUCUACUAAACGUGAUAAUUAUCUGAUCGUUGAGGACAUUCCUUUCACGAGGAAUGGCCAUAGUAAAUUCAAUGGACUGCUUCUAAUCUGGCUUUAAUUCUUUAUUGGAUUAACCACUUUUCAAAUCUGACCUCGAAUCAGGUGGGACUACCCGCUGAACUUAAGCAUAUCAAUAAGCGGAGGA
rnacentral:misc_RNA from 1 species